rnacentral:rRNA from 1 species
AUGACAAAUAUGGUUCGAUGGCUCUUCUCUACUAACCACAAGGAUAUUGGGACUCUCUAUUUCAUCUUCGGUGCCAUUGCAAGAGUGAUGGGCACAUGCUUCUCCGUACUGAUUCGUAUGGAAUUAGCCCGACCCGGCGAUCAAAUUCUUGGUGGGAAUCAUCAACUUUAUAAUGUUUUAAUAACGGCUCAUGCUUUUUUAAUGAUCUUUUUUAUGGUUAUGCCGGCGAUGAUAGGUGGAUUUGGUAAUUGGUUUGUUCCGAUUCUGAUAGGUGCACCUGACAUGGCAUUUCCACGAUUAAAUAAUAUAUCAUUCUGGUUGUUGCCACCAAGUCUCUUGCUCCUAUUAAGCUCAGCCUUAGUAGAAGUGGGCAGCGGCACUGGGUGGACAGUCUAUCCGCCCUUAAGUGGUAUUACCAGCCAUUCUGGAGGAGCAGUUGAUUUAGCAAUUUUUAGUCUUCAUCUAUCAGGUAUUUCAUCAAUUUUAGGUUCUAUCAAUUUUAUAACAACUAUCUUCAACAUGCGUGGACCUGGAAUGACUAUGCAUAGAUUACCACUUUUUGUGUGGUCCGUUCUAGUGACAGCAUUCCUACUUUUAUUAUCACUUCCGGUAUUGGCGGGGCAAUUACAAUGUUAUUAA